ACGCUCGACACCUACGGGAAGGCAGCAGUGAGGAAUAUUGGUCAAUGGGCGCUAGCCUGAACCAGCCAAGUAGCGUGAAGGAUGAAGGCUCUAUGGGUCGUAAACUUCUUUUAUAUAAGAAUAAAGUGCAGUAUGUAUACUGUUUUGUAUGUAUUAUAUGAAUAAGGAUCGGCUAACUCCGUGCCAACAGCCGCGGUAAUCUGAGCGGGCUGGCAAGGC
rnacentral:rRNA from 1 species